AGUCUUUACACUGAUUCCUCACCAACACUAAGAAAGAGGAUCAGUCCAGUUCUGAAGUCUUUACACUGGUUCCUCACUAACACUAAGAAAGUGGAUCAGUACAGUUCUGAAGUCUUUACACUGGUUCCUCACUAACACUAAGAAAGUGGAUCAGUACAGUUCUGAAGUCUUUACACUGGUUCCUCACUAACACUAAGAAAGAGGAUCACAUCACUGGAAGGAGGAGGAGGGAAAAGACACGCCGCAAGUCUGUCGACAGCCGGGAUCAUCAGCCGACCCCGAGAAAGACCCGGGACGCAGAAUUCGUGGCCGGGCCGGUGCUUAUAUGUCCAACCUCCCUCAUCCUCGGCACGAUUGACGGAAUCCAACCGGACCAGUGACCACAGAUAACGGGUAAGAUAAAAAGUUGAUAUACAUGGUUUCUCCGCCAUUUAAGGAGGUUGAGAAAGGUUUCUCCGCCGUUAAGGAGGUUGAUAAAACGUUGAUAGAGAGAAAGGUUUCUCCGCCGUUAAGGAGGUUGAUAAAACGUUGAUUGAGAAAGGUUUCUCCGCCGUUAAGGAGGUUGAUAAAACGUUGAUAGAGAAAGGCUACUCCGCCGUUAAGGAGGUUGAUAAAACGUUGAUAGAGAAAGGCUACUCCGCCUAGGAGGAGGAUCGACGUGCCUUUGGGUACACUUAUGAGUGAUUGAGUGAAAGCAGUGUGUAAAAGUGUCACCAAGUGGAAUCAGCGCACAGAGUGGAAACCUAACGGUGAUAACAAAAACUCUGUGGUCUGUUGAAGUACACUAGUGGUGAAUUAGGAA